rnacentral:misc_RNA from 1 species
AACGCACAUUGCGCCCUUUGGUAUUCCGAAGGGCAUGCCUGUUCGAGCGUCAUUAUCACCCCUCAGACCGACCUGGCGAAAGCCGGUCGUCUGGCGUUGGACGCCGAGCCGGACCGUCGUGUCCUCGCUCCGUCCCAAAGAUAAUGACGGCGGCCUCGUUGGAUCCCCGGUACACUGAGUUCUCACGAACACGUAUCGGACGGCUCUCGAGACGCCGGUCGGCCUCCCUCUGGGAGAACUUUUACAAGGUUGACCUCGGAUCAGGUAGGGAUACCCGCUGAACUUAA